GGAAGGAUCAUUAUCGUAUUUCAAUCAGAGGCACCAGGGCUGUCGCUGACCUCCCCUUGAAAAAAAAAAAGGUGGGGUCGUGCACGCCUCGUGUCCUCAACAAACCCAAUACACCCCCUUUGUGCAUCACCGCCGUGGGCUCCCUUUAAAGGGGGCUUACGUUUUUCACACAAACGCUUCAUUAGUUUGUAGAAUGUUUCUUUUGUUUUGCGGCUAGUACGCAAUCAUGUGACAACUUUCAACAACGGAUCUCUUGGCUCUCGCAUCGAUGAAGAACGCAGCGAAAUGCGAUACGUAAUGUGAAUUGCAGAAUUCAGUGAAUCAUCGAAUCUUUGAACGCAUCUUGCGCCCCUUGGUAUUCCGAGGGGCACACCCGUUUGAGUGUCGUGAAAUCCUCAACCUUCAUCCUUUUCUUUUUGAAUCGGGAGAAGGCUUGGACUUUGGAGGCCAUUGCUGAUCCUCAUCAACGUGAGCUCAGCUCCUCUUAAAUGAAUUAGCGAGGUUGUCCUUUUGCCGAUCCUCGGACGUGAUAAGUUGCAUUUACGUCCUUGAGUUUUGGUCAAUACUUUUUCCAA
rnacentral:rRNA from 1 species